GUUAGACUUGCACCUGAUGCAGACACUUGGUGCGGUGCGGGGAUCACCAGCCCGGGGAGCGGCACCUGCCCUAGCACCAUCUCCCCAGGGUCAGCCUCGGUCCUUUUGUGUCCAUUGCUUUGGUGAAUUAAGGGACUAAUUAAGGUCUGGUUGAUUUGGGGAGAGGUGGUUUAAAAAGUCUCAUUCUACUUACAAUUUUUUAAAAAAUAUUAAGAGGAAAAGAGAGAGAGAGAGAGAGAGAGAGAGAAUGUCUGUCAUGUGGUCCACUCCCAAUGCCUGCAACCCUGGAGCUGAGCUGGCACAGGGGCAGCAGCCAGGAACAAAACCCAGGUCUCCCACAUGGAUGGGCAGGAAGCCACUUACUUGAGCCAUCACCACGGCUUCCCAGGUUCUGCACUGGCAGGAAGCUGGUUUCGGGAGAUGGAGCCAGGAAUUGGACCAGGCGCUGCAGUGGGGCGUGUGGGCAUCUUAACCACUAGGCUGAAUGCCCCCUCCCUUUGCUGUUACUGAGUGGAUAUAAAUGAACCAAUUCUCCAAAGCCAUGACACGAGGAUAAUGAAAAAAAUUCGGCAAUGAUCAAUCGGUUAUUUUGCGGCUAUUCCACUGCCUGUUUGGAUCUAUACCAACAUCUGUAGAACUUGUCCAGAUGAAGUCUCGCGAGUGACUUUAGUCUCGUCAGACAAUUAUCAAAUGUAUUCUGUGUUCUGCAGACAAUGGGAAAAUCCAUGACUCCUAGAGUAAAAUGGGUCUAGACAGAAUUACUGUCUUCACAUCGAAAGCUUGUGAGCUUCUCCUGUUGGUUUAAAGCACCCUGUUAUCACCACGUAACUCCUAGCAAUGUCUCCCAAGAUUCCCCCGGUCUGCACUGGGCACUUCCUCCCGCAGCUUCCCUGGGUUGGCUUCUCCCACCCACUUUACGCAGCUCUGACCACCCAAGUGCCUGGAAUCUUGCCUCGAUCGCCCAGAGGAAUGAGUUUAGAACAAUCUUGAGGUCUCCGUUAUUUUUAUAUGUGGUGCUGUGGUACUGGAAGGGGAGCCAGAUGAUUUCAUUCCUUCUGUUUUCAGGUGAGCCUCCGUGUCUUCCAGACCGCGGGAAGCUGUUCCUUGGCCGCGUCUGGUCUGCGCACCUCGGUUUGCCUGUCUCCAAGUGGCGUGGUCGCUUUGGUCACGUGAUCUCUUGCUCCCACCAUGCGGUUCCCACCAGAAGCCCAGUGCUCGACGCAGUGCCCUUGGGCCUCCAGAACUGUGAGCUAGAGACACCUGUUUUCUUGAUAAAGUUGCCCGUCCCAGCCAUUUGGUGACAGCCAUGAAAAAUGGACUAACGUGGUGUGCUAGAAAUAUUGCAUGUGAAUACGAUACAGCUGUGCGGAUGAUGGGGCCAUGCGGUUGGGGAAGGUCCCCCGGGUCACUAUGCUGCUGAGAGCCCCACAGGAGAGACCCAGCCCCUGCGUGAAGCAGGUGUCGGCUCGCAACACCCACAAAAGAGGGGAGGGUGGCGACAAGCUCCCCACCCUCUGGAGGUGACCUCGCUGCCUCGCACCCCCUCGCCCAGCUUGCUCUCCCGCUCGGUCCUUCCUGGGGAGCUCGGCACGAGUAACUUGCCCUGGAAAACCAGCCUACAGCCCGCACUGCUGCUUCUGCUCCCUCUCAGACUUGGGUCACACCUACAUCCUUUGCUUUACCGGUGGAGGUAGGAUGAAGGUGUAGCCACAGGCUGUGUGAAAAAUGCAUGGAGUUGAGGGGGAAAACCCAAGACAAAGCCACAAAAACUUCAUCGAAGGCAGGAAAAUGAAAGUAGUCUUUUGAGGUUAUCGAUCCUUAUCUGCCAAGUCAGCAAAAGUUAGUUUGAUUCCUGGCAAGUUUGCAGUUACAAAAAAAUUUGUUCUUGUUCUUGGUGGUAUUUUAAGUUGUUAAAAGUGCCAUCUAAGAAAGUGAGUAUAAAAUGAUUAUGCCAAUCAAUCCAAUCAUCUUGGUAUGGGAAUCCAUCUUAAGGAAA
ensembl:lncRNA